ACACUAUUACUAUUUCUCUUCAUGAGCAGCAACAAAUAUGUGUUCGGUGU
rnacentral:sRNA from 1 species